rnacentral:rRNA from 1 species
CGGCAAACGGGUGAGUAACGCGUAAGAAACCUGCCAUUCACAGGGGGAUAGCCUCGGGAAACCGGGAUUAAUACCCCAUGAUACUGGACCAUUACAUGAUGGAUCAGUUAAAGCGUAAAGCGGUGAAUGAUGGUCUUGCGUUCCAUUAGUUAGUUGGUGAGGUAACGGCUCACCAAGACAACGAUGGAUAGGGGAACUGAGAGGUUUAUCCCCCACACUGGAACUGAGACACGGUCCAGACUCCUACGGGAGGCAGCAGUGAGGAAUAUUGGUCAAUGGAGGCAACUCUGAACCAGCCAAGUCGCGUGAAGGAUGACUGCCCUACGGGUUGUAAACUUCUUUUUUAAGGGAAUAAAGUGAGCCACGUGUGGCUUUUUGCAUGUACCUUACGAAUAAGGAUCGGCUAACUCCGUGCCAGCAGCCGCGGUAAUACGGAGGAUCCGAGCGUUAUCCGGAUUUAUUGGGUUUAAAGGGUGCGCAGGCGGAAUAUUAAGUCGGCGGUGAAAGUUUGCAGCUUAACUGUAAAAUUGCCGUUGAUACUGGUAUUCUUGAGUGUAUAUGAAGUAGGCGGAAUUUGUAGUGUAGCGGUGAAAUGCAUAGAUAUUACAAGGAACUCCAAUUGCGAAGGCAGCUUACUAAAUUACAACUGACGCUUAGGCACGAAGGCGUGGGUAUCAAACAGGAUUAGAUACCCUGGUAGUCCACGCAGUAAACGAUGAUUACUCGCUGUUUGCGAUACACAGUAAGCGGCUUAGCGAAAGCGUUAA